rnacentral:lncRNA from 1 species
UGAGCAAAUGUCAAACCGUUGGUAUCUUAAUUAAAGAAGAUGAUACUUUCUUUGAGGUCAUCAUACCAUUCGUGGAUGAUUGAUCGCUUCAGUUUGUAUGUGGUGGUAAUCUUUACAUGGUUGAUUGUUGCUUCAUUCCGCCAAUGAUCAUUUGGAUGGUGCGGGCAGGCGAGGGAGGCUUUGGAGGGCCUUGGUAUUGUUCUUGUCCGCGACCGAAGUUGGCUCGUCCUCGGUAGCUCAUCAGCUCUCUUAGGUGCCCUUGGUGAAGCAAGUUCACUACUUCUUACCAGAGGGCUAUGCAGUCCUCGGUCUUGUGGCCCCAGUCAUGUUGGAACUCACAGACGACAUUUGACUUUCUGGUAUUUGAGUCGGACUUCAUCUUCUAUGGCCACUUCCUUUGGACCGAGCUUCUCUAGUGUUACAUUAUUUCUGACUGGGAAACACAAAAAUUGUGAGCAUAUAAGGGUGUAGCCAUGCCUCGUUCGUUCCGCUGAGUCCCUGUGUGUGGCCUAGACAACCCUUCCGUAUGGUGGGGAGAUGGUGGAAUGGUUGUUCUGACAUAAGGUUGGUAUAUGUCUCGGUUGAGGAGUGGGCCAAAUUGGUCUCUUCGAACGUCAUUAUGAUGGUUUUUUCCUGGUUCUAUUUGGAGCGACGUUAAUCGCUAAAUCAGGCCGUUCAGGUCGUCUUCUUCUGCCCUCACCUCGGCACAGUAGGCAUUAUGUAUUUCUUCCCAAGUAGUUGGAGAGUAUUUCAUGAGUCGAUCCAAUAUAUUUCUGGUCGCUCUCGACUUAUUCCUGCUCAACCAUUUUAGAAGGCUGCCACUGCCAUCCCUUUCGAUGCAUUUGGUAAGCUCAUUUUUACCCCAUUGAACUGAGCCAAGAAGUCCUUGGGUCCCUCGCCAGGCAGUUCCCUAUCGACGAAUAUAUCAUUUACCUUGGCUUCCGCCUUCUUAGCCCUGGUGUGGGCGAUGACGAACUUGUCAGCUAUUUCCUCAAAUGUUGUUACAGACCGUGCUGGAAACUAUGAGUACGAGGUUAAGUCUCCCACGGUAAAGGUCUCGCUAAACGUUUUCAGUAAUACUGAUGAUACUUGCUCCAUUGAGAGAUCGUUGCCCUCCAUUGCUGUGACGUAGUGAAUUAUGUGAUCUUCAGGAUCUGUUGUGCCGCCAUAUAUAUUCAAAUAAGGCGCCAUCUUGAAGGUUUUGGGUAUGGCAUAUGGGAUUGCCUCCUCGUUGUACAAUUGUUUGACGAAUCCACCGAUGUCCCAUUUUGGAAGCAGUUUUUGGGAGCCUGAUAUCUUAUCGACCCCUUCUUGAUGUUCCCUCAACUGAUCGCGGAGUUCUUUGUUCUCGUUUUCCAUUUCCUCCAUUUUUUUAGAACGGUUGUAAGUGCACUGUUACCUACAUCAACAGCAGCGUGAGUGUUACUUAUUGCGGGAGCGGGCUGCUAGUCGGUGGUUGUUGUGAUAUCCAUGUGUAGGACGUUUCUAUUUGCCCAAUCAACAAGUUUUUCGAGAAUGUCACUUAAAGUGCUCGUCAACCACGUCUCUAGUAGUUUUUUGAUUGCUGGUGGUGCUUCCUCAACUGUGGAUGUGGAAACUCCUCUUUCGCAUGAACCGUACACUUUCAUAAAGGGGAGGUGAAUCGCUCUGCCUGGGUGUAGCACUCGGCAUCACGUUCUCCUCGUCUCCUCUGUCAUCCUCGUUGAUGUUAUAAAAGAUGGUGACGGUCACACCUACUAUUACUUUCUACUUCAUUCAAGCAUUGGAUCUCCAGUCUCAUCUCAAUUAAGAGGGUUCAUGAAAAGAACAGGUUCAAAGUCACGAUCAAUUCCUUUUUCAAAUCCUACUGCAGCUGCACGAGCCCUUCCCGCGUGCCACAAAUGACCUACGAACAAGAAAAAUCCUAGAACAAAAUGAGAGGUAGCCUUAAAGUGCUCGUCAACCACGUCUCUAGUAGUUUUUUGAUUGCUGGUGGUGCUUCCUCAACUGUGGAUGUGGAAACUCCUCUUUCGCAUGAACCGUACACUUUCAUAAAGGGGAGGUGAAUCGCUCUGCCUGGGUGUAGCACUCGGCAUCACGUUCUCCUCGUCUCCUCUGUCAUCCUCGUUGAUGUUAUAAAAGAUGGUGACGGUCACACCUACUAUUACUUUCUACUUCAUUCAAGCAUUGGAUCUCCAGUCUCAUCUCAAUUAAGAGGGUUCAUGAAAAGAACAGGUUCAAAGUCACGAUCAAUUCCUUUUUCAAAUCCUACUGCAGCUGCACGAGCCCUUCCCGCAUACCACAAAUGACCUACGAA